UCUAGAAAUUUGGGCAAUGGGGAAAACCCUGACGCAGCAACGCCGCGUGAGUGAGGAAGGUCUUCGGGUCGUAAAGCUCUGUCAGGCGGGAAGAAAUGCAUGGAGGUGAACAGCCGCCAUGCUUGACGGUACCGCCAGAGGAAGCACCGGCUAACUCCGUGCCAGCAGCCGCGGUAAUACGGGGGGUGCAAGCGUUGUUCGGAAUCAUUGGGCGUAAAGAGCGUGUAGGCAGCUUGGUAAGUCAGAUGUGAAAGCCCUGGGCUCAACCCGGGAAGUGCAUUUGAAACUGGCAGGCUCGAGUAGGGGAGAGGGAAGUGGAAUUCCUGGUGUAGAGGUGAAAUUCGUAGAUAUCAGGAGGAACACCGGUGGCGAAGGCGACUUCCUGGCCCUAUACUGACGCUGAGACGCGAGAGCGUGGGUAGCAAACAG
rnacentral:rRNA from 1 species